GACGAACGCUGGCGGCGCGCCUAACACAUGCAAGUCGAACGAGCGAGAGAGAGCUUGCUUUCUCGAGCGAGUGGCGAACGGGUGAGUAACGCGUGAGGAACCUGCCUCAAAGAGGGGGACAACAGUUGGAAACGACUGCUAAUACCGCAUAAGCCCACGGCUCGGCAUCGAGCAGGGGGAAAAGGAGCAAUCCGCUUUGAGAUGGCCUCGCGUCCGAUUAGCUAGUUGGUGGGGUAACGGGCCACCAAGGCGACGAUCGGUAGCCGGACUGAGAGGUUGAACGGCCACAUUGGGACUGAGACACGGCCCAGACUCCUACGGGAGGCAGCAGUGGGGAAUAUUGCACAAUGGGGGAAACCCUGAUGCAGCGACGCCGCGUGGAGGAAGAAGGUCUUCGGAUUGUAAACUCCUGUUGUUGGGGAAGAUAAUGACGGUACCCAACAAGGAAGUGACGGCUAACUACGUG
rnacentral:rRNA from 1 species